AUUGAACGCUGGCGGCAUGCCUUACACAUGCAAGUCGAACGGCAGCACGGGGGCAACCCUGGUGGCGAGUGGCGAACGGGUGAGUAAUACAUCGGAACGUGCCCCGUAGCGGGGGACAACCAGUCGAAAGACUGGCUAAUACCGCAUACGCUCCACGGAGGAAAGCAGGGGAUCGCAAGACCUUGCACUAUGGGAGCGGCCGAUGCCCGAUUAGCUAGUUGGUGAGGUAAAGGCUCACCAAGGCAACGAUCGGUAGCUGGUCUGAGAGGACGACCAGCCACACUGGGACUGAGACACGGCCCAGACUCCUACGGGAGGCAGCAGUGGGGAAUUGUUCGCAAUGGGCGCAAGCCUGACGACGCAACGCCGCGUGGAGGACGAAGAUCUUCGGGUCGUAAACUCCUGUCGAGCGGGACGAAUGGCCCGCGGA
rnacentral:rRNA from 1 species